GUUCUUGUAGUUGAAUUUUACAACGACGAUUUUUCAAGUCGUUAGUUUAAGUUAAAGUCUUAAUAAGAAUA
rnacentral:tRNA from 1 species